GAGGGCGACUUUAGAAGAAAAUUGAUUCAUCAGCAAGCGGACGUAGUACGCAAGCAAGUGGAAAGGCUAAAGAAAUUAUCGGACAG
rnacentral:rRNA from 1 species